GUACUACUCCCUCCGUUCUGAAUUACUUGUCUUGGAUUUAUCUAGAUACGGAGGUAUCUAGCACUAAAAUGAGUCUAGAUACAUCCGUAUCUAGACAAAUCCAAGACAAGUAAUUCGGAACGGAGGGAGUACAUG
rnacentral:pre_miRNA from 1 species